rnacentral:rRNA from 1 species
CCGGCACGGGUGAGUAACACGUAUCCAACCUGCCGUCUACUCUUGGCCAGCCUUCUGAAAGGAAGAUUAAUCCAGGAUGGCAUCAUGAGUUCACAUGUCCGCAUGAUUAAAGGUAUUUUCCGGUAGACGAUGGGGAUGCGUUCCAUUAGAUAGUAGGCGGGUAACGGCCCACCUAGUCAACGAUGGAUAGGGGUUCUGAGAGGAAGGUCCCCCACAUUGGAACUGAGACACGGUCCAA